rnacentral:lncRNA from 1 species
CUGGGUAAUAGUUUUAUUAUGCCGAUAGGUCGGUUCUCCACAGGCUCUUCUUGCCAGGUGGUUUAAGGAGAUGAGGUGGAUUUGAUGGAGCUUCACAUCAUUCUGUUCGGUACUUCAGAAACUUAUUUAGUCGCUCAUGCCCAAUGAAUUUCUCAAUCUCAUCUUGCAGUUAGAUGCAUUCCUCGAUAUCAUGAUUAUGAUCCUGAUGGUAUAGGCAAUAUUUGUUGAGA